AAUUUAUAUAGUUUAAUAAAAACAUUACAUUUUCAUUGUAAAAUUAAAAAAAUUCUUUUUAUAAAUU
rnacentral:tRNA from 1 species